GGGGGCUUGCUCCCGGGUUAGUGGCGAACGGGUGAGUAAUAUAUCGGAACAUAUCCGGAAGUGGGGGAUAACGUAGCGAAAGUUACGCUAAUACCGCAUAUGCCCUGAGGGGGAAAGGGGGGGAUCGCAAGACCUCUCGCUUUCGGAGUGGCCGAUACCGGAUUAGCUAGAUGGUGAGGUAAAGGCUCACCAUGGCGACGAUCCGUAGCUGGUCUGAGAGGACGACCAGCCACACUGGAACUGAGACACGGUCCAGACUCCUACGGGAGGCAGCAGUGGGGAAUUUUGGACAAUGGGCGAAAGCCUGAUCCAGCCAUACCGCGUGAGUGAAGAAGGCCUUCGGGUUGUAAAGCUCUUUCAGCCGGAAAGAAAUCGCACUUUUUAAUACGGAGUGUGGAUGACGGUACCGGAAGAAGAAGCACCGGCUAACUACGUGCCAGCAGCCGCGGUAAUACGUAGGGUGCGAGCGUUAAUCGGAAUUACUGGGCGUAAAGCGUGCGCAGGCGGUUUGAUAAGCCAGAUGUGAAAUCCCCGGGCUUAACCUGGGAACUGCAUUUGGAACUGUCAGACUAGAGUGUAGCAGAGGGGGGUAGAAUUCCACGUGUAGCAGUGAAAUGCGUAGAUAUGUGGAGGAAUACCAAUGGCGAACGCAGCCCCCUGGGUUAACACUGACGCUCAUGCACGAAAGCGUGGGGAGCAAACAGGAUUAGAUACCCUGGUAGUCCACGCCCUAAACGAUGUCAACUAGUUGUUGGGGGGAGGAGACUUUCCUUAGUAACGCAGCUAA
rnacentral:rRNA from 1 species